rnacentral:rRNA from 1 species
CCCUUAGAUGUUCUGGGCUGCACGCGUGCUACACUGAUAUUGCCAAUAUGUCAUUCUUAUCCGAAAUGGAUUGGGUAAUCAAGUAAUGAAAUUUCAUGCUUGGAAUCGGUAAUUGCAAUUUUAUCGUGAACGAGGAAUUCCUAGUAAGCACUAGUCAUCAGCUAAUGUUGAUUAUGUCCCUGCCCUUUGUACACACCGCCCGUCGCUACUACUGAUUGGGUGUUCAAGUGAGAUGCUUAGACCCUUGUUGCAUGGUUCAUUAUUGUACUCCGAAAGGAAAAAGUUUCAAGCUUGAGUGUCUAGAGGAAGUAAAAGUCGUAACA